UCUUCCUUUGGAAGAAAAGUGGUUUACAGUGCCACAAGGAGCCACCCUCUGGGCAUCUGCAGGGUUGUUACUGUAUCCCAUUUUGCUCAAGCAGAGAUGGAAUAGCCAUAGUCAACUUGCUUUGUUCUUUUAUGGACAUUUUAAUAUUUCUCAUUAAUAGAAGUCUACUCCAUCAGAAAAUAUUCAAAGACUGUCAUACAUCAGACAUCUGUCUUUCUGUGAUGAAUGCUCCUGUAAUUGCAUGAGGAAUGUACUCUCAGCUGUCCUCACUACACUUUUAUAGCUUUCCCUGGGAUCAAAAUUGGCAUGCUACAAUAUUAAUGAAAGGAGGUAACUAACUAUAGGACUGACAUAUGAAUUUGUAUAUGAAGAAGGAUGGGCUAUAACUUGAAACAUCAAACAUAUAACUGUUCAGAGUCAGCCUGAGUCUUCCCACUUAAAGAAGAGAGAGCGGUUAAUGUUUGUGCAUCCAGGGAGCAGUUCAUUUGAUGUAUCCUGAAGUAUGUGACUCAGAUGAAACGAGUUGCCUUCAGGAAGUGUCCAUUUCUGUCUGUAAAAGGAUAAGUCUCACCAAUACUCCUCAGUUUUAUUCCACUCUUCUGCAAUGUCAAGUUGACCUCAAUUGACCAAAGGGGUAUUCCAUAUCAUACAACAUAAUGUUCAGCAAUAAAACUUAAAGGUCUUGAGGGAAGCAGGAGCCAUUCCAAAUUAGCCUUUGCUCAGACACUGACCAGGCAUUGUUCUGCUCAUGAGAGUUGUUCUCUCCAGCAUCUUCCUAAGGUGCAGGGUAGAUGACUGAGUGAGCAGCUGGUGGAAUGACUUCAAAUGUUCUGAUGGUAUAACCUGAUGAUUUUAGAGGUAAUUUUGUCUGUCAUAUCACUUCUGCCUUCCAUUGUACCUGUAUACAGUGCUGGAAAGAUAAUCCCUGCCAUGGCGAUCACCAGUGAAAUCUCCAUGGAUUUCAUUAAGUAUUUUUGCUGCAAGAUUGGUCCUUAUAUAUGAAGGUCUUCCAAAUACCAGCUUUUUAAGAUGUAGCUCUAACAUUGUCAUAAAGACUAGUUUAGUAAAUUAAGAAAAUUAAUAAAUGUUAUAAAGCAAGUCCAGAAAAAAUGAACAUAAAUGAGAUAAGUGCUGUAAUCACUAUCAUCACUAUGCAACAUUCACAAUAAGAAUAAAAAUCAAGGUCAUAACUUUCAGAAAACAGAAGUAAGUGAAGUUAUUUCAAGGAUAUAUUUUUUUUAUUAUUGUUAUUGGAUGGUAAGUGUAAAGGGAAUUGCUAUUUGCCUACUUUUCUGAAAAAAAACAUAUCUCAUAGAAGGAAUGUCAAACACAUUUUCAUGCUAUGGCGAGUUUUCAGACUGUUGUUCAUUAUUUUUCUUUCAGUAUUAUCUCCCUAAUUUGUAUGUUCCUUACAGAGUAUUUUUAAUUGACUGUUUUCAAGGGUGUGUGUUAUCAUUUGCAUUUAGGACAAAACCUCAGAUUAUUUUAGAUAAAUAAUCAGUGUCAAUUAAAUUGUAACAAAUUUUUGAAAACAAAUUUUCCAGUGCAUGUAUCAUCUCAUUAGUCUACAAUUUUUAGCAAAUUUUACUAUUUGGUCUGAUAUAUCACCUCUAGAAAAAAAAGUUAAUAUUUACCCAGCAUUUAAUUGAAUGGUUUUGUUGAUGUGAAUUGAAUUUCAGCAUUUCAUAUUUAACAGUGGGAUAUUGUCAGUUUACACAGCCUUCUUUAGACAGCAAAGGAAGUCUCACAGCUACAGACUCUGGUAUCCAUGGGCAAAAGUAACUAAUACAUCCUGCAAAGGCAACAUGUCUGAGUGUAAGCAACCCAAGAGUUUUCUCAAGAAUGUGAAAGACAUUUUGCUUACUUAUAUGAUAAAAAAAAAUAAUGGGAUGGUGUGUACUGCUAAACUUCCUGCUCCCAAGUCUGACCAGAGUAGCGUUGGUUAAUGGCAGACCUGGGUGUGGUGGUUGAUGAAGAACUGAUGAUGGUAGAGUUUAAGAUCUUGACAGGAGUGAGCAAAAGCAGAGUAGCAGAAUCAGAACGUACUUCAAGAGGCUAGAUUUUGGGUUGUUAAGGGGUUUGCUUGACAAGAUUUGAUAGAAAACUUCCCUGAAGGGCAAAGGGGCACAGAAAAGUUGGUUGCUCCUCAGAGCCUGGGAGCAAUCUAUUCCUUGCAGAAAGUCAGGCAAGUAUGGCAGAAGGCCAGCAAGGUCUGCAGUCAUUAUCUGAGCUCAAAUGCAAAAAUGAAGUACAGAGAAGGCAGAAGCAGGAAUGGUGGGAAUAAAGAGGCAUUGCACAAAUUUGAGGGUGUAGCGUUAGGAAAGUCAAAACGCAGAUGAAGAUUAAAUUAUCAAGAAAUGCAAAGGGCAACAGCUGAGGUUUAUCUGAGUAUGUUGCCAGUGAAGACAGGAUUGAGAGAAUCUGUGUCUGCUACUCAAUGGGGCAAGAGAACCAGUAACAAAGGAUGUGGAGAAAGAUGGCAUACCUUUUCAGUAUGGGUUUUUUUCCCUGGUUUUAAGUAUGUUUUUUUCUCUGGUUUCAACGGAGGUCUAUAGGGCCAGAGGAGAUGCAUUUUAAAGUCAUAGGUGUUAGGACCCUGCAGGCACCAACAACUCUGACUGUCCUUGUUCAGCCCCGCUCAGUACCCCCAACCCUGUCUGUGGCCCAGGGUGCCAUUUCAGGCACCCUUGGGCCAUUAUUCUGUGCCCUAAAAACACUGCAGCAGGGCCUGUCUCCAGCUCCCCCAACAAUCCUGCCUUGCCUGCCAUCCCCAUCCCAGCCUGGCUUCAGCCAUCCCUGUCCUUAGGGAGGUACCUAAUAUACCUAAUAUAUAUGCCUGAACCUAUAUUCUACCGAAUCUCCACCUCUUUAAAGAUAUUUCUCAUA